UCAGGAUGAACGCUGGCGGCGUGCCUAAUACAUGCAAGUCGAACGAGGGUAGCAAUACUCGAGUGGCGAACGGGUGAGUAACACGUAGGUAACCUGCCUUACAGUUUGGGAUACCCGAGGGAAACCUUGGCUAAUACCGAAUAAUUCUUCUGAAGGCAUCUUCGGAAGCUAAAAGGGGCCUUUAAAGCCUCGCUGAAUGAUGGACCUGCGGCGCAUUAGCUGGUUGGUGAGAUAAUAGCCCACCAAGGCGAGGAUGCGUAGCCGACCUAAGAGGGUGAACGGCCACACUGGAACUGAGACACGGUCCAGACUCCUACGGGAGGCAGCAGUAGGGAGUUUUCGGCAAUGGGGGAAACCCUGACCGAGCAACGCCGCGUGAACGAUGAAGGUCUUCAGAUUGUAAAGUUCUGUUAUAAGGGAAGAAUGAUAGCUUGAGGAAAUGCUAGUUAUUUGACGGUACCUUAUUAGAAAGCCACGGCUAACUACGUGCCAGCCGCGGC
rnacentral:rRNA from 1 species